rnacentral:rRNA from 1 species
GUCCAGACUCCUACGGGAGGCAGCAGUGGGGGAUAUUGCACAAUGGGGGGAACCCUGAUGCAGCGACGCCGCGUGGGUGAAGGAGCGUUUCGGCGCGUAAAGCCCUAUCGGCAGGGAAGAAGGAGGACGGUACCUGACUAAGAAGCCCCGGCUAACUACGUGCCAGCAGCCGCGGUAAUACGUAGGGGGCAAGCGUUAUCCGGAUUUACUGGGUGUAAAGGGAGCGUAGACGGCAUGGCAAGUCAGAUGUGAAAGCCUGGGGCUCAACCCCGGGACUGCAUUUGAAACUGUCAGGCUGGAGUGCAGGAGAGGUAAGUGGAAUUCCUAGUGUAGCGGUGAAAUGCGUAGAUAUUAGGAGGAACACCAGUGGCGAAGGCGGCUUACUGGACUGUAACUGACGUUGAGGCUCGAAAGCGUGGGGAGCAAACAGGAUUAGAUACCCGCGUA